GUAUUGUAUAUGCGCGCGCACAGUAAUAACAAGGCAUAUUCGUACAUACAAAGAGGUAUAGGUGAUCGUCGAUCGAUCCAUCUUAGUAGUAGACUUAGACAUGCUCCGGCGUGGCGGCGGCGUCGGCCUGGAUGACGUUGCGCUUGCCGCGCUCUGAGCGGCUGUUCUCGGCGAACUUGAGGCUAGCGCUAUGGAGUCCCUUGCUCUUCUCGUCGUCGUUCCACUCGGAGGCGUAGUAGCCCUCCUCGUCGGCGGUGGCGCUGGGCGGGAAGAACAUGGACCCCCACUGCGGGAAGUGCACGAACACCACCGGCAGCGUGCACGCCAUGAUCAUGAUGCCCAUGUACUCCAGCCCCCUGCCCGUGGAGUAGGUCGAGGAGGUAAAGAAGAGCAGCUGCGUGAGCCCGGCGCCGAAGUUGCCGCCGGCGCCCGUCAUGCCGGAGAUGAUGCCGAGGGAGCGGCGGGAGACGAAGGGGAUGACCCCGAAGAUGGCGCCGCAGGCCGCCUGCGCGCAGAAGGAGAAGAGCACCAUGGCGACGACGGAGACGGGGAGGGUGCUGGCGCGUCCCAGCCAGAGGCAGAAGGCGCCGCCGGCGGUCUGGAGGAUCCAGAUGUUCCAGAGG
rnacentral:misc_RNA from 1 species